CAGCGAUCAUUCUUGCCUCACACAAACCCUUUACACUGCACUAAUCACAAAAAAGAUUCAAAAUAUAGAGAAAUGGCAACACCUUCUGUAGUACACUUAAGGCUUAUUUUUCUUGUUUUGGUGUUGACAUGCUCCAUUUACAGCACACUUGCUCAAGGCGGAGCCUCAGGAAGAGGGGUUGGUGGUGCAGGAGGAGGCGGAGGUGAACGAGGAAGCAGUGGAGCUGGCGGUGGUGGUGGAGGAGGUGGUGUGGUAGGUGGCGGCGGCAGCGCACAUGUCACUCAAACCUUCCUAAAUUGUGGAAAGUUCUCAUGUAGUGGCGGCGGCGGAAGAUAGUGUUUAUAAGCAUUUACGUUCAUUCAGUUUAUCGGAUUUAGUAAACACAGCGGAUUUAAACUGUCAAUUCCAUUGCAUAUACAUCAAAUAAAUCUUUUCUAUAGAAGGUUAACCUAGCAAAGAGCUUUAAUGUAAACAUACCAUACUAUAA